GAGAGAGGCUGGUAGCAACAAAGACUGCUGAUCUAUGUUACCCCAGUUAAACUCUAGGGCUCUCUUA
rnacentral:tRNA from 1 species